AGCCCGCUCCCGGUAAAACGGGACGGCCCGCCAGAGGACCCCUAAACUCUGUUUCUAUAUGUAACUUCUGAGUAAAACCAUAAAUAAAUCAAAACUUUCAACAACGGAUCUCUUGGUUCUGGCAUCGAUGAAGAACGCAGCAAAAUGCGAUAAGUAAUGUGAAUUGCAGAAUUCAGUGAAUCAUCGAAUCUUUGAACGCACAUUGCGCCCGCCAGUAUUCUGGCGGGCAUGCCUGUUCGAGCGUCAUUUCAACCCUCAAGCACAGCUUGGUGUUGGGACUCGCGUUAAUUCGCGUUCCUUAAAUUGAUUGGCGGUCACGUCGAGCUUCCAUAGCGUAGUAGUAAAACCCUCGUUACUGGUAAUCGUCGCGGCCACGCCGUUAAACCCCAACUUCUGAAUGUUGACCUCGGAUCAGGUAGGAAUACCCGCUGAACUUAAGCAUAUC
rnacentral:rRNA from 1 species